GCCGGGCGCGGUGGCGCACGCCUGUAGUCCCAGCUACUCGGGAGGCUGAGACAGGAGGAUCGCUUGAGUCCAGGAGUUCUGGGCUGUAGUGCGCUAUGCCGAUCGGGUGUCCGCACUAAGUUCGGCAUCAAUAUGGUGACCUCCCGGGAGCGGGGGACCACCAGGUUGCCUAAGGAGGGGUGAACCGGCCCAGGUCGGAAACAAAACAGUCUGGGAAAAUUUAAAACACAAAAAGCUCCUAACACAAAACAUCCAGGAAAUCCAGGACACAAUGAGAAGAGCAAACCUAAG
ensembl:misc_RNA Metazoa_SRP Metazoan signal recognition particle RNA